GCAUUUGCAGACAACUUCGCAAUUCGUUGUGGUUCAGCAACUCAGAAGCAAUUCAUAACUUCUAAAAGAAACAUGCAAUCGACAUCGUAGGCUAAGAAUUUUUUUUGUGGAACAUACAAGAAUCAAGAUUUAUUUGUUUCAUCCACACUCUUCUACCAGAAAUGGAUGAUCUGAUGACAAGCUUCCACCGGGGAGCUGCACCAAUUAAUGCCACCUUUCAUGUUAAAGUAUAUAAUUCUUCAAAGAAAUCAGAU